rnacentral:lncRNA from 1 species
UUUUUUUUUUCUUUGUUGAUGCUUCGUCUAUCCCAUUACUCAUUAUUUCUCAUAUCGAUUUUGUAUGUAAAUUUCCAUGUCUAGUCGCUCACUUAUAUAUAUUCGAUUUGUUUUUUUUUUCAUCGAUGUCAGAGCUUUUUCCAAGUAGAGUUUACAUUUUACAGACAUUAUGCAUCUUGAUAUCAACGGAUAUCAAUGAAUUGUUAAGUUUGAGAGUUUUUUCUUGUUCUUUAAUUGAGA